rnacentral:rRNA from 1 species
CGGAGGAUCCAAGCGUUAUCCGGAAUCAUUGGGUUUAAAGGGUCCGUAGGCGGGUUUAUAAGUCAGUGGUGAAAGCCCAUCGCUCAACGAUGGAACGGCCAUUGAUACUGUAGAUCUUGAAUUAUUAGGAAGUAACUAAAAUAUGUAGUGUAGCGGUGAAAUGCUUAGAGAUUACAUGGAAUACCAAUUGCGAAGGCAGGUUACUACUAAUGGAUUGACGCUGAUGGACGAAAGCGUGGGUAGCGAACAGGAUUAGAUACCCUGGUAGUCCACGCCGUAAACGAUGGAUACUAGCUGUUCGGAGCAAUCUGAGUGGCUAAGCGAAAGUGAUAAGUAUCCCACCUGGGGAGUACGUUCGCAAGAAUG